rnacentral:tRNA from 1 species
GGGGAUUUGGCUCAAUGAUAGAGCGCUUGCCUAGCAAGCGAAAGGCCCUGGGUUCGGUCCCCAGCUCCA